AUGCAGGUUGGUGACAUUUUGGGGCUCAGAGUCCCAGACCUUCCCAGAGCUCCCAUUCCCUCGAUGCCUGGGGGGGGUUUACCUGACUGGGGACACCUCUCUCCGUCCACAGGUGACACAGCAGCACGGCCAGCUGUCCCCUCUCUGCAGGCUGGGGGGUGUCACCGAGGGGUCCACACCCCCCAGCCCCUGGUGAUUCCCACCUCCCCAAAUUUGUCACCUGAGGAGUUGUGCUGUGUUGUUUUUGACAGAUGCCAAGGCUCUGGUGAGCAGCAACAGCCACGGGGAGAGCGUGGAGCCCAUGGAAUAGAGCAGAUCCCCGGCGCGGUGUCACCGAGCCCGAGGCAGAGACAGGAGCCGGACAUGCCAGAGCCAGCCCCGCUCAGUGGGGACAGGAAAGCGGCGGAGAAGAAGCGGGUGGAGAAGGUGGGAGCCAAGGGCAGCGCUGCCGGGCCUCCAGUCCCCAGGAGCCUCCCGGUGCAGAGCAAGGCGGAGCCGCCCAGCCUGGACCCUGCGGAGGAGCCGCUGCUCUGGGAAGGGCUCACCCUCAACAAGUGCAUCCUGGUGGCCUCCGUGGUCGCCCUGCUCAGCGUCACCUUCCAGGUGCUCCAAGCUCCAUGCUCCAAGGAGGGACUCGCCCGCGGCCGGCAGGAGCCUCCGCCCCCGCCCGUUCCCGAGCUGCUGAGCCCCAAGGCGGAGGAGAUCCCGGAGGUGGUGACUGCCCAGCCCCCGCCGCCCCCGGAGAGCAGCGUGAUGGAGGAUGACGGUGAUGACGAAGAUGGUGAGGAUGACGAUGACAGCGAAGCUGACAGCAACCUGGCAGAACCCUGGAUCUUCAAGAAGUGGUUUGGCCGCGCAACACCAGAGGAUGAAGACAAGGAUGGGGACAAGGAUGAGGAUGAGGACAAAGAUGAAGGCAAGGAUGAGGAUGAGGACAAGGAAGAAGAACCUGAAGAUGUUCCCGAGGUGCCAAUGGCUGUGAUGGAGGGGAAGAAGAGCCAGGAGAAGCAUGAGAAGAAGGCAGAGAAGGAGGAGAAGGAGGAGGAGGAGGAGGAAGAAGAAAAGGAAGAGAAGGAGGAAGAAAAAGAGGAGAAUGAGGAGGAGGAGGAGGAGGAAGAGGAGGAGGAGGAAGAGGAGGAGAAGGAGAAGGAGGAGAAGAAGAAGAAGGAGGAGAAGAAGGAGAAAUCCCGGGAAGGCCGUGCUGUCCAUGCGGAGCGGAGCAGCAGAAGGGAGGCACGAGCCAAGGACAGGACAGCGGGGGACAAAGCUGGCAGAGCCCCCAGGGCCCCCAGGGAACCCGAGCAGCAGCCCCAGAAGAAGCGGGACCGGGAGAGGAAGGAGAGGAAGGAGAGACGGCGGGAGCGGGAGGAGUCCCGGCGGGAGGGGUGGAAGGGCCGGCCCGGCCGGGCUGAGGGCGGCCGGGAGAGCCCGAGGCGGGACUGGAAGCAGCAGAAGGGCAGGAAGCCCUGGGAGCCGGGCAGGGAGGGCAAGAGGCGCGACUGA
rnacentral:lncRNA from 1 species